rnacentral:rRNA from 1 species
UACGGGGGGGCAAGCGUUGUUCGGAAUUACUGGGCGUAAAGGGCUCGUCGGCGGCCAACUAAGUCAUACGUGAAAUCCCUCGGCUUAACCGGGGAACUGCGUCUGAUACUGGAUGGCUUGAGAUUGGGAGAGGGAUGCGGAAUUCCAGGUGUAGCGGUGAAAUGCGUAGAUAUCUGGAGGAACACCGGUGGCGAAGGCGGCAUCCUGGACCAACACUGACGCUGAGGAGCGAAAGCCAGGGGAGCAAACGGG